rnacentral:rRNA from 1 species
UACGUAGGUCCCGAACGUUGCGCGAAUUUACUGGGCGUAAAGGGUCCGUAGGCGGUUUAGCAAGUGGUUGGUGAAAUUUCACGGCUCAACCGUGAAACUGCCUUCCAAACUGCUAAACUUGAGGCAGGGAGAGGUCGGCGGAAUUCCCGGUGUAGCGGUGAAAUGCGUAGAGAUCGGGAGGAACACCAGUGGCGAAGGCGGCCGACUGGAACUGUCCUGACGAUGAGGGACGAAAGCUAGGGGAGUAAACCGG